UAAGUAAGCUUUGAUCCAGAGAUUUCCGAAUGGGGAAACCCAGCAUGAGUUAUGUCAUGUUAUCGAUAUGUGAAUACAUAGCAUAUCAGAAGGCACACCCGGAGAACUGAAACAUCUUAGUACCCGGAGGAAGAGAAAGAAAAUUCGAUUCCCUUAGUAGCGGCGAGCGAAACGGGAAGAGCCCAAACCAACAAGCUUGCUUGUUGGGGUUGUAGGACACUCUAUACGGAGUUACAAAGGACGACAUUAGACGAAUCAUCUGGAAAGAUGAAUCAAAGAAGGUAAUAAUCCUGUAGUCGAAAAUGUUGUCUCUCUUGAGUGGAUCCUGAGUACGACGGAGCACGUGAAAUUCCGUCGGAAUCUGGGAGGACCAUCUCCUAAGGCUAAAUACUCUCUAGUGACCGAUAGUGAACCAGUACCGUGAGGGAAAGGUGAAAAGCACCCCGGAAGGGGAGUGAAAUAGAACCUGAAACCGUGUGCUUACAAGUAGUCAGAGCCCGUUAAUGGGUGAUGGCGUGCCUUUUGUAGAAUGAACCGGCGAGUUACGAUUUGAUGCAAGGUUAAGCAGUAAAUGUGGAGCCGUAGCGAAAGCGAGUCUGAAUAGGGCGUUUAGUAUUUGGUCGUAGACCCGAAACCAGGUGAUCUACCCUUGGUCAGGUUGAAGUUCAGGUAACACUGAAUGGAGGACCGAACCGACUUACGUUGAAAAGUGAGCGGAUGAACUGAGGGUAGCGGAGAAAUUCCAAUCGAACCUGGAGAUAGCUGGUUCUCUCCGAAAUAGCUUUAGGGCUAGCCUCAAGUGAUGAUUAUUGGAGGUAGAGCACUGUUUGGACGAGGGGCCCCUCUCGGGUUACCGAAUUCAGACAAACUCCGAAUGCCAAUUAAUUUAACUUGGGAGUCAGAACAUGGGUGAUAAGGUCCGUGUUCGAAAGGGAAACAGCCCAGACCACCAGCUAAGGUCCCAAAAUAUAUGUUAAGUGGAAAAGGAUGUGGCGUUGCCCAGACAACUAGGAUGUUGGCUUAGAAGCAGCCAUCAUUUAAAGAGUGCGUAAUAGCUCACUAGUCGAGUGACACUGCGCCGAAAAUGUACCGGGGCUAAACAUAUUACCGAAGCUGUGGAUUGUCCUUUGGACAAUGGUAGGAGAGCGUUCU
rnacentral:rRNA from 1 species